rnacentral:rRNA from 1 species
GAUCCUGGCUCAGGACGAACGCUGGCGGCGCGCCUAACACAUGCAAGUCGAACGAGCGAGAGAGAGCUUGCUUUCUCGAGCGAGUGGCGAACGGGUGAGUAACGCGUGAGGAACCUGCCUCAAAGAGGGGGACAACAGUUGGAAACGACUGCUAAUACCGCAUAAGCCCACGACCCGGCAUCGGGUAGGGGAAAGGAGCAAUCCGCUUUGAGAUGGCCUCGCGUCCGAUUAGCUAGUUGGUUGAGGG